rnacentral:rRNA from 1 species
GACGAACGCUGGCGGCGUGCUUAACACAUGCAAGUCGAACGAUGAACCCGGAGCUUGCUCCGGUGGAUUAGUGGCGAACGGGUGAGUAACACGUGAGUAACCUGCCCUUGACUCUGGGAUAACUGCGGGAAACUGUAGCUAAUACCGGAUACGACCCUCGGCGGCAUCGCGAGGGGGUGGAAAGAAUUUCGGUCAAGGAUGGACUCGGGGCCAAUCAGCUAGUUGGUGAGGUAACGGCUCACCAAGGCGACGACGGGUAGCCGGCCUGAGAGGGUGACCGGCCACACUGGGACUGAGACACGGCCCAGACUCCUACGGGAGGCAGCAGUGGGGAAUAUUGCACAAUGGGCGCAAGCCUGAUGCAGCAACGCCGCGUGAGGGAUGACGGCCUUCGGGUUGUAAACCUCUUUUAGUAGGGAAGAAGCGAAAGUGACGGUACCUGCAGAAAAAGCACCGGCUAACUACGUGCCAGCCGCCGCCGUAA